GGGCCUAUAGCUCAGCUGGUUAGAGCGCACGCCUGAUAAGCGUGAGGUCGAUGGUUCGAGUCCAUUUAGGCCCU
rnacentral:tRNA from 1 species